GAAAUGCGAUAAGUAGUGUGAAUUGCAGAAUUCAGUGAAUCAUCGAAUCUUUGAACGCACAUUGCGCCCUUUGGUAUUCCAAAGGGCAUGCCUGUUCGAGCGUCAUUUGUACCCUCAAGCUCUGCUUGGUGUUGGGCGUCUUUGUCUUCCCAGAAGACUCGCCUUAAAGUCAUUGGCAGCCGGCCUACUGGUUUCGGAGCGCAGUACAAGUCGCGCUCUCUUCCAGCCAAGGUCAGCGUCCACAAAGCCUUUUUUUCAACUUUUGACCUCGGAUCAGGUAGGGAUACCCGCUGAACUUAAGC
rnacentral:misc_RNA from 1 species